UACGAAGGGGACUAGCGUUGUUCGGAAUCACUGGGCGUAAAGCGCGCGUAGGCGGCUAUGUAAGUCAGGGGUGAAAUCCCGGGGCUCAACCUCGGAACUGCCUUUGAUACUGCAAAGCUCGAGUCCGAUAGAGGUGGGUGGAAUUCCUAGUGUAGCGGUGAAAUUCGUAGAUAUUAGGAAGAACACCGGUGGCGAAGGCGGCCCACUGGAUCGGUACUGACGCUGAGGUGCGAAAGCGUGGGGAGCAAACAGG
rnacentral:rRNA from 1 species